rnacentral:rRNA from 1 species
AGAGUUUGAUCAUGGCUCAGAUUGAACGCUGGCGGCAGGCCUUACACAUGCAAGUCGAGCGAGAAAUUUUCUUCGGAAAAGAGUAAAGCGGCGGACGGGUGAGUAACGCGUAGGAAUCUACCUAGUAGUGGGGGACAACAUGUGGAAACGCAUGCUAAUACCGCAUACGCCCUAUGGGGGAAAGCAGGGGAUCUUCGGACCUUGUGCUAUUAGAUGAGCCUGCGUCGGAUUAGUUUGUUGGUAGGGUAAUGGCCUACCAAGACUACGAUCCGUAGCUGGUCUGAGAGGAUGAUCAGCCACACUGGGACUGAGACACGGCCCAGACUCCUACGGGAGGCAGCGGUGGGGAAUAUUGGACAAUGGGCGCAAGCCUGAUCCAGCCAUGCCGCGUGUGUGAAGAAGGCUCUAGGGUUGUAAAGCACUUUCAGUAGGGAGGAAAAGUUAGUAGUUAAUAACUGCUAGCCCUGACGUUACCUACAGAAGAAGCACCGGCAAACUCCGUGCCAGCAGCCGCGGUAAUACGGAGGGUGCGAGCGUUAAUCGGAAUUACUGGGCGUAAAGCGCGCGUAGGCGGUUUGACAAGCUGGAUGUGAAAGCCCCGGGCUCAACCUGGGAACUGCAUCCAGAACUGUCUGACUAGAAUACAAUAGAGGUGAGUGGAAUUUCCUGUGUAGCGGUGAAAAUGCGUAGAUAUAGGAAGGAACAUCAGUGGCGAAGGCCGACUCACUUGGAUUGAUAUUGACGCUAAGGUGCGAAAGCGUGGGGAGCGAACAGGAUUAGAUACCCUGNUAGUCCACGCCGUAAACGAUGU